rnacentral:rRNA from 1 species
AGCAGUAGCCGCGGUAAUACAGAGGGUGCGAGCGUUAAUCGGAUUUACUGGGCGUAAAGCGUGCGUAGGCGGCUUCUUAAGUCGGAUGUGAAAUCCCUGAGCUUAACUUAGGAAUUGCAUUCGAUACUGGGAAGCUAGAGUAUGGGAGAGGAUGGUAGAAUUCCAGGUGUAGCGGUGAAAUGCGUAGAGAUCUGGAGGAAUACCGAUGGCGAAGGCAGCCAUCUGGCCUAUACUGACGCUGAGGUACGAAAGCAUGGGGAGCAAACAGGAUUAGAUACCCCUGUAGUCCCUGUCUCUUAUACC